GGGGUUGACUGGAUUUGACAGCGGGAUGAAAUGGUAUGUAAGCAUGCGGAGCCUCGAUGGCUAGCUCCUUAAUCUGAGUGAACAAAAAAUUAAUUGGCGAAAACAACUACGCUCUCGCUGCCUAAUCGAAGUACAGUAGAUUACUGGCUCAAUCCCGUCAUUAGAUGACAGGACGAGACAUCGCUCCAAGGAUGUUGUUCCGAAUCUGAGGGUCAAGCGGUGCAGGUAAAUCGGAAAUAGUCAGGGUGGGCCUCGACGCCGUGAUGAAGUUUUAGAGGAUAAGGGCAUAGUUGGUGGUCCGGGUCUUGCUAUGUCACGAAAACGGAGUCCGGAAUAAACGUGUAGAAAGCGUAUGGUUUCCCUGUUUGGACGAGGGUUCGAAUCCCUCCAGCUCCAC
rnacentral:tmRNA from 1 species